rnacentral:rRNA from 1 species
AGGACGAACGCUGGCGGCGUGCUUAACACAUGCAAGUCGAGCGGAAAGGCCCUUCGGGGUACUCGAGCGGCGAACGGGUGAGUAACACGUGAGUAAUCUGCCCCUAGCUCUGGGAUAGCUCCGGGAAACCGGGAUUAAUACCAGAUACGACCACUUUAGACAUCUGUUGUGGUGGAAAGAAUUUUGGCUAGGGAUGAGCUCGCGGCCUAUCAGCUUGUUGGUGAGGUAACGGCUCACCAAGGCGACGACGGGUAGCCGGCCUGAGAGGGCGACCGGCCACACUGGGACUGAGACACGGCCCAGACUCCUACGGGAGGCAGCAGUGGGGAAUAUUGCGCAAUGGGCGAAAGCCUGACGCAGCGACGCCGCGUGGGGAUGAAGGCCUUCGGUUGUAAACCCUUUCAGCAGGGACGAAGCGAAAGUGACGGUACCGUGCGAGAAGAAGCGCCGGCUAACUACGUAGCCGAGCAGCCGC